GACAGAGGUGCCGAGCGUUAGGCGGAAUCACUGGGCUUAAAGCGUGUGUAGGCGGGUCGUUAAGUGCCUUGUGAAAUCCCACAGCUCACCUGUGGAACUGCUUGGCAUACUGGCGAUCUGAGCCACUUAGGGGCAACCGGAACAAACGGUGGAGCGAUGAAAUGCGUAGAAUAUCGUUUGGAACGCCAAUGGUGAAAACAGGUUGCUGGGAGUGCGCUGACGCUGAGACACGAAAGCCAGGGGGAGCAAACGGG
rnacentral:rRNA from 1 species